rnacentral:rRNA from 1 species
UACCCGUCUUGAAACACGGACCAAGGAGUCUAACAUGCGCGCUAGUCGUUGGGUCGGAUACGCUCCGCUAAACCCGCAGGCGCAAUGAAAGUGAAGGCCACCCUUAAGCGGGGCCGAGGGAGGAAGGGGGCCCCCAGAGGGUCCCCCGCACUCCCGGGGCGUCUGAUUCCUCACUGCGAGGGGAGGCGCACCCAGAGCGCACACGUUGGGACCCGAAAGUGGUGAACUAUAA